CGGGUACUGCCCCGCACGUGAGAAGACCAGAUACCCAGGGGCCUUAAUUGACCCUCUUGGGGGCUGUCCCUGGCCGGAGCCGUGGCUCCGGUCAUAUGGUUCCCACCUGCAACUGCAGGCCCGUGAGGAUCUUUCCUUCCACGGCAUGGGCGGUCCCGCC
rnacentral:other from 1 species